GGGUAUAGCUUAGUGGUAGAGCACAUGCUUAGCAUGCAUGAAGUACUGGGUUCAAUCCCCAGUACUUCCA
rnacentral:tRNA from 1 species